AGUCGAACGGCAGCGCGGGGGCAACCCUGGCGGCGAGUGGCGAACGGGUGAGUAAUACAUCGGAACGUGUCCUGGAGUGGGGGAUAGCCCGGCGAAAGCCGGAUUAAUACCGCAUACGCUCUGUGGAGGAAAGCGGGGGAUCUUCGGACCUCGCGCUCAAGGGGCGGCCGAUGGCAGAUUAGCUAGUUGGUGGGGUAAAGGCCUACCAAGGCGACGAUCUGUAGCUGGUCUGAGAGGACGACCAGCCACACUGGGACUGAGACACGGCCCAGACUCCUACGGGAGGCAGCAGUGGGGAAUUUUGGACAAUGGGGGCAACCCUGAUCCAGCAAUGCCGCGUGUGUGAAGAAGGCCUUCGGGUUGUAAAGCACUUUUGUCCGGAAAGAAAACCUCCGUCCUAAUACGGUGGGGGGAUGACGGUACCGGAAGAAUAAGCACCGGCUAACUACGUGCCAGCAGCCGCGGUAAUACGUAGGGUGCAAGCGUUAAUCGGAAUUACUGGGCGUAAAGCGUGCGCAGGCGGUUCGCUAAGACCGAUGUGAAAUCCCCGGGCUUAACCUGGGAACUGCAUUGGUGACUGGCGGGCUAGAGUAUGGCAGAGGGGGGUAGAAUUCCACGUGUAGCAGUGAAAUGCGUAGAGAUGUGGAGGAAUACCGAUGGCGAAGGCAGCCCCCUGGGCCAAUACUGACGCUCAUGCACGAAAGCGUGGGGAGCAAACAGGAUUAGAUACCCUGGUAGUCCACGCCCUAAACGAUGUCAACUAGUUGUCGGGUCUUCAUUGACUUGGUAACGAAGCUAACGCGUGAAGUUGACCGCCUGGGGAGUACGGUCGCAAGAUUAAAACUCAAAGGAAUUGACGGGGACCCGCACAAGCGGUGGAUGAUGUGGAUUAAUUCGAUGCAACGCGAAAAACCUUACCUACCCUUGACAUGUACGGAAUCCUGCUGAGAGGUGGGAGUGCCCGAAAGGGAGCCGUAACACAGGUGCUGCAUGGCUGUCGUCAGCUC
rnacentral:rRNA from 1 species